UCAUGAUGAUACAACAAACUCAUUCAGUUCUGCUUCUGAGCCAAAUCUGAAGAAACCUAAAUACCAAGAAACUCUCACAUAUCUGA